rnacentral:rRNA from 1 species
UGAGGGUGCAAGCGUUAAUCGGAAUUACUGGGCGUAAAGCGAGUGUAGGCGGCUUCGUAAGUCGGAUGUGAAAGCCCCGGGCUCAACCUGGGAAUUGCAUUCGAUACUGCGCGGCUAGAGUCUGAUAGAGGGAAGUGGAAUUCCAGGUGUAGCGGUGAAAUGCGUAGAUAUCUGGAGGAACAUCAGUGGCGAAGGCGGCUUCCUGGAUCAAGACUGACGCUGAGGCUCGAAAGCGUGGGGAGCAAACAGGAUUAGAUACCCUGGUAGUCCACGCCCCUAAACGAUGUCAACUAGACGUUGGGCUCAUUAAGGAGUUUAGUGUCGAAGCUAACGCGUUAAGUUGACCCGCCUGGGAGUACGGCCGCAAGGUUG